GAUGAACGCUAGCGGCAGGCCUAACACAUGCAAGCCGAGGGAGAAGCCCUUCGGGGCAGAAACCGGCGCACGGGUGCGUAACGCGUAUGCAACCUACCUUUCACAGGGGGAUAGCCCGAAGAAAUUUGGAUUAAUACCCCAUAAUAUUAUUGGAUGGCAUCAUUUGAUAAUUAAAAUUACGAUGGUGAAAGAUGGGCAUGCGUCCUAUUAGCUAGUUGGAGUGGUAACGGCACCCCAAGGCUACGAUAGGUAGGGGUCCUGAGAGGGAGAUCCCCCACACUGGUACUGAGACAGGGACCAGACUCCUACGGGAGGCAGCAGUGAGGAAUAUUGGUCAAUGGUCGGAAGACUGAACCAGCCAUGCCGCGUGCAGGAAGAAUGCCUUAUGGGUUGUAAACUGCUUUUAUAUGGGAAGAAUAAGGAGUACGUGUACUUUGAUGACGGU
rnacentral:rRNA from 1 species